UACGGAGGGUGCGAGCGUUGUCCGGAAUCACUGGGCGUAAAGGGCGCGUAGGUGGCGGCCCAAGUCAACGGUGAAAGCUCGGCGCUCAACGCCGAGUCGGCCGUCGAUACUGGGUUGCUUGAGCACUGUAGGGGCCAAUGGAAUUCCGGGUGCAGCGGUGGAAUGCGUAGAGAUCCGGAAGAACACCGGUGGCGAAGGCGGUUGGCUGGGCAGGUGCUGACACUGAGGCGCGAAAGCGUGGGGAGCAAACAGG
rnacentral:rRNA from 1 species